GAAGAAACCACUCUGGUAAAACUCGGUGCUCUGUGAUUCAAGGAAUUGUCGCACAGCCUGCUUCACCUCAGCAUUGUUUUCGAAGUGACGUCCCGAGAGUGCGGCUUUCAUUGCUGGGAAU
rnacentral:lncRNA from 1 species